CCUACGGGGGGCUGCAGUGAGGAAUAUUGGUCAAUGGACGAGAGUCUGAACCAGCCAAGUAGCGUGAAGGAUGACUGCCCUAUGGGUUGUAAACUUCUUUUAUAUGGGAAUAAAAUGUUCCACGUGUGGGAUUUUGUAUGUACCAUAUGAAUAAGGAUCGGCUAACUCCGUGCCAGCAGCCGCGGUAAUACGGAGGAUCCGAGCGUUAUCCGGAUUUAUUGGGUUUAAAGGGAGCUUAGGUGGUUUGUUAAGUCAGUUGUGAAAGUUUGCGGCUCAACCGUAAAAUUGCAGUUGAAACUGGCAGUCUUGAGUACAGUAGAGGUGGGCGGAAUUCGAGGUGUAGCGGUGAAAUGCUUAGAUAUCACGAAGAACUCCGAUUGCGAAGGCAGUUCACUGGACUGCAACUGACACUGAGGCUCGAAAGUGUGGGUAUCAAACAGGAUUAGAUACCCUGGUAGUC
rnacentral:rRNA from 1 species